rnacentral:lncRNA from 1 species
GAAAAAUCUAGGAUGGAUGGGAAUAAGGUUCAUUCCCGAAGAUGUUUAUAUUAAGAAGAGCCUAUUAAAUAUAUUCUUAAGCCUGCUUGCUGUUGCUUAACUUCACUGAGACCUAGAAACAAUGCAACUGAAGUGACAAAAUCACCUUGACAUCUGCCCUAGGAUUCCUCAACUGACCGCUGGCUCUAUCUCUCAGCAAAUCUUCCCGUCCCACUGGACACAUGGAAACUUUGGAUCUCUAUGCAACAAUCAAAGGGAACAAGCAACUGUAGGGAAAGUAGGAAGUCCAACAAUUUCUUCUUCAUAGACCGUUUUGCCUGAUCUUCCUGAGGAAAGAGAGCUAGAAGACAUAGACAAGGAUGAGAAGAGCUAUUCUUAGGGGAGAGCCAGAUUUCAGACACUGAGGAAUGCAAUAUGGACAUCCCGUCUGACUACACAGUAUACAAACUCUUUACCUAAUGUUGCAGAUGGGUUUCAUAUAUCCGAGGGGCUGUUUAUUAAUGUGGAUAUUUUUUCUUUUGCUUAUUUACAUAUUGCUCAGAAGCCUGCCUACAACAUGGAAAUGAUUUGCAUGCAUCUCGUUUCUUAGGAGUAAAGCACACUCCUACACAAUAGGGCACAUCAUUUCACAAAGAGGCAAGUCAUUUUGGGGUCUCCAUUUUCACAUUUUGUGGGGGCAGUGCCAUAAAAGCACUCUACACAAAGCGAUCUCUACAAUUUACUUGGAAUGUGAGCAGAUAUAAAGAAGGACUUAAAUGCUUGGAGACAGUAAGGUAUGGUAGAGAAGGUGGUAGAAGGAGUGAAGGUAUUAGAAUAAGGCACGCUGAAGAAAUAUUCCCGAUUUUGCUAUUUACCACCUGUGCAGUCUUGGAAAAUAUUUAACCUGAAUCAACCUAAUUCCUCAUCUAUGAAAUAGGAAAAAUAGCAUAUCAUGUAAAGUUUUUGUAAGAAUUGGUCAUAAUGCAUAUGUUAUUAAUAAUGAAGUUGUUAAAAUUAGUUAGGAAUUAUCAUUAUUACUGUUUUCCCAGGACAGGUAUGUUGAUGCUUUCAGGAAGUAAAGAUGAUUUUUCUUUGAUUAUUUGUCUUUACUCCACAACAGUUUUUGAGGUGUAUAUUCCUAUUACCUACAGAAGUGCCUGGAACAUGAUCUGCCAUGCUCAUGGAUUAUCAAUGCAUGUUAGUUUACGUAAUUGUAAAAUAGAUCCGUUCAAAUGAAAAACAUAUCCCUAAAUAGGCACUCAUAUUUAGAGAGAUGGAAUCAAAAUUUUAUAGAUGAUUACUGGGUAACUUGUUGGAGAAAAAGAUGUAAAAUAUAAAAAGAAAGGUUGAAUUAUUUUCUUUUUUUACUGUUUACUUGACUCAAACUCUUUGGUUUAGAAGUGGAAACUUGAAACUUGGAGAACAACAACAACAAUAGCAACAACAACAGAAUAGGAACAUCAUACAAGGCAUUUCUUCAUUUGUGUGUACUGUCUUCCACCAGCAGAAUGUUAACCUGCCUGAGAACAGGGAUUUUGUCUGUUUCCUCGUCUGGUAAAAACCUGCCCACUGCCUUGAAGAGUGUCUUGAACACAGUAAUUGCUCAAUAUGUAUUGAAUAGAUUUUCAUUUCUUCAUAUCUAAUAUCUAGAGAGUUCAUAAUAACACAUCCUUUCUGCUCUUCAUACCUAGGAUGAGGAAAUCCAUUUGUCUUUAAAUACAGGAUUUUUAAAAUUUCAGGAUUCAUUUUCAUUUUUAACAGAAGUAUUUACUCUUUGGCCAUUAAUUUUUAUUUCUAUCACUUGGCAAAAUGGUUAUCCAAAUAAUUUACCCUACGUGCCUAAAUUUGUUUCAAUCAAAACACUUAAAUUUGGCUACCCAUAACAAUCAUAUUAUUAUAUUUUAUUGUCUUUGUAUUUCAGUCAUGAUAUUUCAGGUAUUUAUAUAUGGGGAAGACCUUGGCUAGCACAGCAAGCUUUGUGGAAAAGAAUGGAUAUUAAUUAUUCUCUCAGAAAUUAAUUUUUUUAUCAGAUAAAACUUCCAGAUGGAUGCCAGAUCAUAGAAUCACAUUUUUAUUUCCUGCUAUCUUAUGGCACACUGAAACACUGAUUUGCAAGCUGGAACAUGAUGCUCUGACCAUGUAAUUGUCAAUAGCAUAACCUGUUUUGCACCUUAUACCUGGAUCCUUUAAUUUUCACACUUAUUCUGACACAUUUAGAAAGCCUAUGGUCUGAAUUCUUCAAUUCAUGUUCACUGAGAAGUUAGUGAGGUUCUCUCCUGUAAUGCCAGCACUUUGGGAGGCUGAGGCAGGAGGAUCACGAGGUCAGGAGACCGAAACCAGCCUGGCUAACAC